rnacentral:rRNA from 1 species
UAAGCGGAGGAAAAGAAACUAACAAGGAUUCCCCUAGUAACUGCGAGUGAAGCGGGAAAAGCUCAAAUUUAAAAUCUGGCGGUCUUUGGYCGUCCGAGUUGUAAUCUAGAGAAGUGUUAUCCGCGCUGGACCGUGUACAAGUCUCCUGGAAUGGAGCGUCAUAGAGGGUGAGAAUCCCGUCUUUGACACGGACUGCCAGGGCUUUGUGAUGCGCUCUCAAAGAGUCGAGUUGUUUGGGAAUGCAGCUCAAAAUGGGUGGUAAAUUCCAUCUAAAGCUAAAUAUUGGCGAGAGACCGAUAGCGAACAAGUACCGUGAGGGAAAGAUGAAAAGAACUUUGGAAAGAGAGUUAAACAGUACGUGAAAUUGCUGAAAGGGAAACGCUUGAAGUCAGUCGCGUUGGCCGGGGAUCAACCUUGCUUUUGCUGGGCGUACUUUCCGGUCGACGGGUCAGCAUCAAUUUUGACCGUUGGAUAAAGGCUGAGGGAAUGUGGCUCCUUCGGGAGUGUUAUAACCCUUGGUCGCAUACAACGAUUGGGAUUGAGGAACUCAGCACGCCGCAAGGCCGGGUACUUGUACCACGUUCGUGCUUAGGAUGCUGGCAUAAUGGCUUUAAUCGACCCGUCU